GUAUAUAUAUACACGACCAUAUUCAUGUUUUUCCACAUUUAGAUCUUCUCGGGUUUUUUUUUUCUUCUUUAGAAAAAUUGAUUAGAGUUCUUAGUUAGUCUUAUAAAGUUACAUAUAAGUUAAGAGGCGUUGUGGAAAAUAAUUUCUUUGAUAUCAUUCAAAUGCAGGUUCUAGCAAGAUACUAUUUGAAGGUUUCGCAGAAAGAUAUUAUAGCUUUAGCAUCCAGCUCCGAGUACUAGCAGUCGGUGUUGACGUAGUUCCUACCUUCUAGUACUGAUUCAGAGCAGGGUGAGCUUGCUGUCAUCGGAGGCUGAUCCUCCUCUAUCUACUUUAGUUAGUCUUUUGCACUCGAGACUCCUCGUGUAUGUUGUGUACAUUUUAGAUUUUUGUCUAGUACUCUGGGUACCUGUUAGUAGUGGCUCUAGUAUUGACUUUAUUAGGUCUUGGGAGAGAUUCAUUGUAUAGUUGGUCCUUUUUUCUCUUCUCGUUUUGAUAUAAUAUAUAUAUAUAUAUAUAUAUAUAUACCCCUUUCUUAGUUUUCAAUUAUUAUUGUUGUUGUUAUUAUUAUAUGUGAUCUUUUAUUUAGUCUCUGCCUGUUAGCCCGUUACCUAUCAUUUCGUGCUAUGGCUUGGCUUGCCUACUGGUGGGUUAAAGUAGGUGCUAUCACGACUUAAGAAGUUGGGUCGUGACAAACUUAAGUGUUUUGAUACUUGUGCUUCGAAUUCCUUCACAUAAACUGGGGUAGAGGGAAUAAGUGAUUUGACUCUGUAUUUUUUUCACAAAAUGAAAAUUACUUUGGUAGCAGUAGUAACUACCCCUAGUAACUAGUAACCAAGUAUUUGCAAAUUGAUUAAUCAAAUAAUUAAUAUAAUGCAACUUGAGCAUUAUCAUACAGUGAAAAACAUGAGUUUUGCGACCAAAGUAGGAAAUAGGUUUUAAUAGAAUCUUGAAUACUUAAAAGAGACCAUAUAUAACCUUCCAUAACACUUGAGUUUAGCCAUCGAUCUUCUACUUCUCUUUUCAAAUACUAAGCUCAACAACUGAAAUUAUAAGCAAAAACACUGGCUCCAACAUUGUCAACUCUCUCUUAUUCCAACAUAUAGGAUGUCAAAUAUUUUUGUUGAAAGAAGAAAAGUCAGCUCAGCCCUUGCAACUAACACUGUUAAAACAGUGCUAACUAAUUUCAGGAAAGUAGUUAGUAACUAACUUUGUUUCUUAUAGCUAAUUGAGUUAGUUAAGUAGUUAGUCUCUAGAACUUUCCAUGAUUAGCUAUAUAUACAUACUAACUACACAUUGUACAACACAAGAUCAAGAUUUAAUCAAUGAGAUCAAUCUAAACUCUUCUCUUUCUCUGCAUUCUAAUAUUUCUUUAUUCUUCUUCAUUCCAGUUUAUAGAGUUCAUCCAUAAUGAACUCUGAUUAAGUUCAUGGUAUUAGAGCUCAAUCGAUUUUUUUAAUCAUCUCCAUUAUUGAGAUUAUACUUUCGCAAAUUCCAAACUCUAAAAUCUACAAAGAUCAAUACAAAAAUUACAUCAAGAAAAUAAUUUAUUGCUAUAGUGAUGGAUUCUAACAAUGGUACCAUGCUGAAGAAUCAGCCAAUUCAUCUAGUAGAGCAACUGGAGUUCAAUAUUCAGUAGGAAUUAAUUAUAACCAUCCACUAUUUCUACAUCCAUCAGAUGUAAGUGGCCUGUAGAUUAUCUCUUUUUAGUUAACUGGGAAUUAAAAACUUCUCUAUGUGGUUUCGAUCCAUGAGACUAUCUUUGCUAGGAAGAAACAAGUUAGGAAUGGUAGAUAGUUCAAGUUCUAAGGAUAAAUUCCCUCUUGAAAUGAGUAACCACUGGAAAAGAGUAAAUGCAAUAGUACUUUUUUGGAUCAUGAAUGGAGUAGUUAAAAAUCUGUUCGGUGGGAUCAUGUAUGCCACUAGUGCACAAGCUGUUUGGAAUGAUUUGCAUGAGAGGUUCAAUAAGAUUGAUGGUUUAAGAACAUUCAAUCUUCAUAAAGAAAUUGCCACACUGUCUCACGGAACAACUUUUGUAUCUCUGUGACUCAAGGCUGAAAGAUCUGCGGGAAGAAUUUGACGCAUUGGUUCCAAUACCUAGUUGUAACUAUGAGAGUUCCAAAGAUUAUAUUGCUCAUCUCCAAAUGUUAAAACUAUUUUAGUUCUUGAUUGGGUUAAAUGAAUCUUAUAGUCAGGCAAGGAGUCAAAUUUUACUCUUGAGUCCACUACCAUCUAUUAACCAAGCAUAUGUUAUGGUAAUCAAUAAUGAAAGUCAAAAAUCAGUAGGACCUACUGCAGGAAUUCUUGGCUCUACUCUUGCAAUUACAGGUUAUGAAUCAGUUAUGUUUACGAGGAGUAAUAACCAAAAUGGCUAUUAUAAAGGUAUUGAAACAACAAUAUUCCCAAGAAGUAGAGGCCAACAACAUUAACAGUUCAAGAAGAAUCAGAAUUUGUAUUAUGAUAUAUGCAAGAUUAGGGGUUUCACUAAAGAGAACUGCUGGAAAGUAAUUGGUUAUCCUACUGAUUUCAAGUUCAGGAAGAGAAUGGGACCAAUGCAAGUGCAAAUGCAGUGUGUAAUCUUGGAGAGGAAAAUUCAUGGCAUGGACAUAGUCAAGUGGUUUACCCAGCUCACACUCAAGCUAACUGUUUCAAUCCUAUAGUCAACUCUGGGAGGAGAGGCUCUAUUUCAUAGACAAGUCCCUGUGUAUUCACUAAUGAGUAGUAUACUCAGAUUCUACAACUGUUAAAUAAAGAAGACAAGUCUAAGCACUCAACUCAUGCAGCAGGUAAAAUGGUAGAGUCAACUGGCUCCACCAAUAUGGAUCUAUGGAUUAUAGACACUUGUGCAACCGACCAUAUGGUUGCUGAUCUCAGUGCACUAAAUGAAUCCUCCAUAACCAGUACUUGUACUCCAAAAAGAGUAUACUUACUAAAUGGUGACAUAUCUUUAGUCAUGCAUGUUGGUUCAAACAAUAUAUUUGGCACUGAUACACUCACAAAUAUUUUUACUUGCCUCAUAUCAAAUAUAAUCUAUUAUCAACCUCUAAACUGACAAAAGAGUUACAGUGUCUUAUAUCUUUUUAUCCUGAUCGGUGUGUAUUUCAGGAUCUCUGCGAUAGGAAAGUGAAGAGGAUUGGGAGAGAAGCUAAUAGACUUUACAUCCUUACCAAUACCACUACUAUCAAUGAUACUGUGAUGAUACAAAAAAGAUCAAAUCUUACUAAUUUUGUUCCUAAGUAUGUCUGUGAUUAUGUAGUUGCUAAUGCCAACUUAGACAUAGUCUUAUGGCAUAAAAUAUUAGGACAUGCUUCUACUCAUGUACUUAGGAAAAACUGCCUAUGACUAGUGGUAUAAUAUUUAAAAAGAUCAAUCAAUGUGCAGUCUGUCCUUGUGCAAAACAGGUCAUACUUCCUUUUCCAACUACUUGUAUCAAAUAUACUUCUACAUUUGAAUUGAUGAAUAUGGAUGUAAGGGACUUUAUAAAGUUCCCACAUUUAAAGAAAAUAGAUUCUUCUUAACUAUAGUUGAUGACUAUUUUAGAAUGACUUGGAUCUAUCUUUUGAAACUCAAAUAUGAUGUGUGUGUAAUAUUGUCUUAGUUCAUUCAACUUAUUAAAACUCAAUUUGAUAAAAAAUCAAAGUUAUUAGAACUGAUAAUGGAAUGAGUUUGUCAACUCUAUAUGUUCUAUAUGGAGUGGCUGAAAAAAAGCAUAGACACAUUCUGGAAAUUAGUAGGGCCAUUAGAUUUCAGGGUCCAGUGCCUAUCAUAUUUUAGGGCUUAUGUGUUAAAGCAGCUGUGUACAUUAUCAAUAGACUUCCCACAACUUUACUACCCUUAUGAGAAAUUAUAUGAAAAGAAACCAAAUAUCAGUCAUAUGAGAACUAUAAGAUGCUUGUACUAUGCUAAUAUAGUCCAACAAUCUGAUAAACUUCAACCUAGAUCUAGAGAAUGUCUUUUGAUGGGUUAUUCUGAUAUUUAGAAGGGCUACUUAUUAUAUGAUCAUACUUAUAAAGUGUUUUUUGUUACAGAGAUGUCAAUUUCAGAGAAGAUGUAUUCCCUUUUAAAGACUUGGUGCAUGACCCCCAACAGUCAAUUGCUACCAAAGUCAAUGAGACUCUAGUCAACUGGUAAGACAUGGAGGUGUAGAACAUACAAAUCUCUUAAUAUUCAGCACCAACUAAGAACACUAAUGAUCACAUAAUACAAGAGCAGGUGACAUAGGUGCCACAGGAUGAUCAGGUUCAAACUCCAAACACAUCUCAACCAUAGGAUGAAAAUUAGGAACAAGCUGUGAUCAGAAGGAACAACAGAAUCAGAAAAGAUCCACUAUGGCUUAAGGAUUUUGUUUCUAUAAACAUUCAUCAGAAAGAACCUUAUGCUCUAGGGAAAUACUUGACCUAUGAUGCUUUAUCUACAAAUUAUUAGGUAUACAUUGGAAAGUCAUCUACAACUACUGAACUAGCUAACUACAGUAAAACAGUAAAAGAUUCAAGGUGGACAGAAGCAAUGAAGGAGGAGAUUACUGCACUAGAAGAAAACAAGACUUAGGAAAUCACUAGCUUACCUGAAGCGAAGAAAACUAUUGGUUGCAAGUGGAUUUUCAAAGUAAAAUACAAAGCCGCUAGUGAAGUAGAGAGGUUUAAGGCUAGAUUAGUUGCUAAAGGCUAUAGUCAACAAGAAGGAAUUAAUUUUCAAGAAACUUUUUCCCAGUUGUGAUGAUGAAAACAGUCAGAACAAUACUCACCAUUGUAGCUCAAAUAAACUGGUUCAUUCACCAAAUGGAUGUGUAUAAUGCAUUUCUGCUAGGAUCUACAUGAGGAGAUUUAUAUGGACUUGCCACAUGGAUUCAAGAGCUAGGGGGAGAAGAAACCAGUAUACAGACUAUUGAAAUCCUUGUAUGGUCUUAAAUAGGCUCCUAGAUAGUGGAAUGCCAAGUUAUCUGAAGUACUAAGAAAAAUGAGGUUCAAGUAAAGUCAAUUAAAUUAUUCUCUAUUCAUAAAGCAAGACAGUAAAGGUAUUACUAUUGUCUUAGUCAUCAUAGGUGAUUCCAUAAAACUGAUUAAAGAUACUAAAGCUAGACUGCAGCAAGCUUUCAAAAUGAAAGACCUGGGUGAACUUAAAUUCUUCUUAAGGAUUGAGUUUGCAAGGUCAAAGAAAGGUAUUCUAAUGCAUCAGAGAAAACAUACAUUAGAACUUGUGUUUGAGUUGGGACUUGGAGCUGCAAAACCUUUCUUUACACCUAUUGAUGCAAAUAUCAAACUAACUACCAAAGAAUAUGAUGAUCAUGUCUGUAGUAAGGAGAAUGGAAUUAGUGAUCCACCAUCAAAUAUGCAUGCUUAUCAGAGACUCAUAGGAAAACUAUUGUAUCUUACAAUGACCAGGCGUGAUGUAUCCUACUGUGUCUAAACUCUUAGUCAGUUUCUACAAUAACUAAAAAAGUCCCAUAUGGAUACAACUAUCAGGAUAGUUAAGCACAUCAAAAUGAAACCUGGACAACGAGUUCUAAUGUCUAGCCAGUCAAAUACUGAAGUCUCAGAAUACUGUGGCGCUGAUUGGGCAUCAUAUCCAUUCUCUAGAAGAUUUGUUACCGGGUACUUUGUAAGGUUUGGAGAAUCCAUUCUUUCCUGGAAAUCAAAGCAACAAAACACUAUUUUUAGAAGCUCAAUUGAAGCAGAAUACAGAAGCAUUACUGUAACUGUGGCUAAACUUGUCUGGUUACUUGGGCUGUUGAAGGACAUUGGAAUUGACACUACACAACCAACAAAGAUCUACACUGAUAGCAAUUCUACCAUGCAAAUUGAAUCAAAUCCUGUAUAUCAUAAGAGGACCAAACACAUUGAAAUAGACUGCAACUUCAUAAGAGAAAAGAUCAAUCAAGUACUAGUCACAGUCAACUAUAUUCCUACCAGCGACCAGCCUGCUGAUGUGUUGACUAAAGGUCUUAGCAAGGCUUACCAUGAACACUUACUAUCCAAUCUAGGUAUCCUUAAUUUAUUUGGGAUCACAUAGAUUGAGGAGGAGUAUUGAAACAAGGGAAGUCAGCUCAGCCCUUGCAACUAACACUGUGAAAACAGUGCUAACUAACUUUUGGAAAGUAGUUAGUGACUAACUUUGUAUCUUAUAGCUAAUUGAGUUAGUUAAGUAGUUAGUCUCUAGAACCUUCCAUGAUUAGCUAUAUAUAUACUAACUAUGGGUGGGCAUAAAUACCGAAAACCCAAACACCGAACAGAACCAAAUUAAUUUAGUUUUUCGGUUUUGGUUUUUCAGUAUUUCGGUUCGGUGUUUGGUUUAUUUUUUUCAUAAAUUCGAUAUUCGGUUCAGGUUUUGGUUAUUGAGUAUAUAUAAUUUGGUAUUCGAUUUAACCAAAUUAUUAUGCAAUAUAUAGGCUUCACUACAUAGGCCUAUUAGUAUUUAAUAAUAUACACUAACAUAAUUGUUUUAGGCGCAAUCGGCCACCCGAUGUAAACCAGCCCAAAGAUUUAAUGGUAGUCUAGUAUCUACUAGGUCACAAGAUUCACUUCAUUUAGCACUUAGCACUUAGCACUUAGCAGCAGACAACAGUAGAACUUAACAGUUAACACUAGCAGUAGCGACGAACGGCGGAUGCAGGACAACGAG